rnacentral:lncRNA from 1 species
GGGUAGUUUUCCAGCAUCCAGGGGUGAAUGCAGGAGUCCCUCUGCAGCAGUUAAUGCCAACAGUCCAAGGAGGGAUGCCUCCAACUCCUCAGGCCACACAGCUUACUGGACAGAAGCAGAGCCAGCAGCAGUACGACCCUUCCACAGGGCCUCCUGUGCAGAACGCCGCCAGUUUGCAUACCCCACCACCACAGCUCCCUGCGAGGCUGCCUCCGGCCAGUGUCCCAGCCACAGCCCUCCCUUCCACCUUACAGUUUUCACAGCAGUCACAGAUGGUGGAGGCUCCAACUCAGCUCCAAAUCCCAGUGAAGACUCAACAGCUAAAUGCCCCUAUCCCUGCCCCCCUGCCCAGCCAGCUCCCUGCUCCUUCUUCACAGCCCGCCCAGCCGGCCCUACAUGUUUCGAUGCCCGGGAAGGCGCAGAUGCAGACCUCUCAGCUUUCCUCCCAGACUCAGGUACUCUGUGGACAUUGGCUGUUUUACUAGUGAGGUGCAGAAGAAAAGAGGAAACAGUCUGCAAAAGUGGCUUGGCUUGCUGUCUAGGUAUUUGGUAGGGUGGUCUGCGCUGAACCUGCAAUUCCUGGAAGCAGCUUUACUUGCCCUCUUAGCACAGUUGGUUAUUGUAGCAGUUGCAAAUUAAUUUUAUUUGGCUUUGUAAUAACAAUUAUUAAAGUAAUAGAAAACC